rnacentral:lncRNA from 1 species
ACUUGCGGGCAAGAUUUAGGACUAAGAAAGAAGGAAUACAGGUGUUUACUCACAGGUGAUCACAAAACUGGAGCCACCCUGAGGAGUGUGUCAAUUUUAUCUCCACACCUCACACAAGAGGACAGACUGGCCUGAACCACUGGUAUCUCACAAAGUGGUGUUAUGCACAGCCAGAUUCUCCAAAGUCUGGAGUGUCAGUGAUUCCUGGGAUUGCAUCAACCAGGCCAAGGUGGAGGUGAGUAUUUCCUCCUCGCCUCAAUACCUCAAUCGGACCUUCUAGGGUGGCAAUAAGCAGGCCUUGAACUGGAAAAGAAAGAUUCUCUUUGGACUCAUGCCUGUUGCUGGCAUUAGGAUUUCAAGAUAUGGCACAGACUAGAGAUUCCUGUUGGGGGAAGUGGUCAGACUAAGCUGGCUCUACAUUAUCAGAAAUCUGAAGAAUAGCUACUUCUAGUAGCAGUCGUGGGCUGCUCUUUGUUUUUAAUGUCUGUUCCUCUAUGUCUUGUUGAAUAGCCUGGACUGAGCUGAGCUUUGAGGAAUAAAGUGAGGAGAUCUAUGUCCACUGGGAUGGGGCUACAUGGAGAGCCUGAAGGAGGUGGUGGCAAAGUUCAAGAGCAGCAAUGGUUUGAAAGAAGGACAGUUGGCAAAAGCAAUAGAAAUUUCCAAAGAUACUCUGUGGCACAUUUAACCAUUCCUUAGGGAUUCCUCAAAAUCCUUUAGUAACAGAACUCCUUUGCCAUAUUGGCUGCUGAGACCUGAGAACACCCAAAUUGAGUCCGACGGAUUGGCCCAGGAGAACCAUAGUGUUGCUUAGGAGAGUUCUGCUUCUUCUUGUAGUCAUGAGGAGAGCAAAAGUUCCUGAGGGUCACAUCCAGGGUAACAAAUGGCCUCACUUUGUAACCACUUGGCUCUCCAAUUUGCUAGGGACUAGAGAACAAACAGCAGUAGUGGGAAACCUGCCAUCUGGAAUCCUGCUACUCUGUCCACCAAAAUGGCUUUGUCUCCACUGGAAGAUUGUUCUACCUACUCCUCUCAAAUGGCUCUUUCCUCAGCUUUGAUAGCUUCCUCACAUGUAUGUUUAGCUCAGUACUCAGCCAAAAUCUUGAGAGGAUCCUUCUGCAGAUGCCAUAGUUCUCUCUCUAUGUAGCUCCACCCUUUCUGGUGCUCUGCCCCGAAGACGUUAGUCACCUUGGCCUCCCUCACCUCCAAACUCUGUCUUCUCAAUGCAGUGAGAUUGUCAGGCUGUGUUUGGAUUUUCUCUUUCUACAAAGUGGCCUGGAAACUCUUUCUAGGCAGUAAGCUGGGGUACUCAUAGGAUUCACUUAAUUUUUUUUCUCUUCUCUCAGGGACCACUAUCUUGCACUGCCUGUUAUCCAAUGUCUGAAAACUAUUGCUCAUAUAUUUUGUCUCAUUUUCUAGAGGAUUAAGGCAGGAGGGUAAAGUUGGUCCAUCUUAUACCAUCAUGGCCAGAAGUGGAAGUUUUCCCAGGAAGUUUUAUAAAUUGUCAUUUAUAAGUAAGUCUUUCACUGAGAUUGUGUGUUUUUUUAAUUCCUUACUUGUUUCUGGUAUAGCAAAAUGUAUUUUGUCCUCAGUCUCUACCAGUUUUACUGUUGUUUCAUAGGUAAUCUGUUUUUUCUCCUAUCACUUGUAGCUUUCACAAUUUUCUCUUUAUCCUUAAUGUUGUACAAAUAUCCUUAUGGCAUGCCUCAAUAUGUGUUUCUUUUAUUAGUACUGAAAGCUUAUUUUUAAAACUUCAGGACUGGGGCUGGCCCUGUGGCCGAGUGGUUAAGUUCACAUGCUCUGCUGCAGGCAGCCCAGUGUUUCAUUGGUUCGAGUCCUGGGCGCGGACAUGGCACUGCUCAUCAAGCCACGCUGAGGCAGCAUCCCACAUGCCACAACUAGAAGGACCCACAACGAAGAAUAUACAACUAUGUACCGGGGGACUUUGGGGAGAAAAAGGAAAAAAAUAAAAUCUUGAAAAAAAAAAA